rnacentral:lncRNA from 1 species
AGAUGUAUUUAUUUAUUAUUAUAUGUAAGUACACUGUAGCUGUCUUCAGACACCCCAGAAGAGGGUAUCAGAUCUCAUUAUGGAUGGUUGUGGUUGCUGGGAUUUGAACUCGGGACCUUCGGAAGAGCCUGUCAGUGCUCUUAACCGCUGAGCCAUCUCUCCAGCCCCUAUUGUAUUCUUUCAACUAUGCCAUGAAACAAUACCAUAAGUAGCCUCACCUCAGAAACAAGGGGAACUGAGGCAGGAUGCUUUAAAAUAUAGCCAAGAGCUCACAGCUAGUAAGUUGCAGAGCAAAGAUGGAAUGAAAGUUCACACAUGAGUAAUCUUGCCCAUCUCUGUCUUGUGUCUUUAGUUCUUGUGUCUCUGUCUUGUAUGUCAGGUUAGGUGGCAGCCAGGAGCUCCAGGUUUUUCCUCUACAGUGUUCUGCUCCCUUAAGAAGUCUUUUUUGUGCUCCAGAGAACAUCAAAUAGGGAUGGGACUCGUGUGUGUUCCUGUGCAUGCCCGUGAGCCUCCAGCGGAUGCUGUGUGGAAGAUGUGUGUGCCGCUGAUUUAUAACCAUCAGAGAAAACAGAACUGCAAAUCUCACCCACAAAUCUUCCUUAUCGGGGAUGCUUGCAACAAGCAGACACAUCAUGAAUUCCCAGGAACAGGCAGGUCUCCUCCUAGCCUUGGUUCCCACCAGCUGCCUGCUCCCCUGGGCCUGUGGGGGAGCCAUGGGUUGGUUCCAUGAGGUCCCUCUGGCUGCCCGCAGAAGGCCAGCUCACCACUCAGGAAGUGGUGGUCCAUCAGAAAUGCUGGCUCCCCAGUGGUGGAGUCUGGGAGAGCUCCAAGAGCCCCUCCUGGCUGCUAGAAGCAUGCUGGCUGCCCUGCUCCAAUCCUGACUGCUCAGCUGUUGAACUGGGCCUGAAGUACCAACAGCCAGAAGAGCAAAGAUCCCCUGAGCAAACAUAAUAGUCUGCCAGCAUCAAGGGGCCAGGUGUGGCCAUCAGCUCUUCUAACAUGACACCAGGUGGAGGCUCCAAGAAUCUCUUUCAUAACUUGGGUUCCAGAUCUGAGCACAGAGGUCUGCCUGACUCAAGAGAUCCAGCGCUCAGAACCAUUCCGGCAUGUUUCUUGAGUCACAGGUUCCUCACGUCCUCAAGCCUCUUAGGUGUCCUUAGACCCUAUCACUGGCAUGUAUAUUUUACCUGUGUCCUUGAGAGGGGCUGGGUCACCCCACAGGUGUGUACCUCCACCCCAGUGUGUACACGAUGAACCACUGGGAUGUACUUCUCUGCUCACACAGCCUACAUUGUCUUCUCUAAGUUCACACUAGGUCCCACAUAAUGGAGGGACAAGCACAAUUCAGGUGAGGUAAACUAGUCAGGCACAGGCUUCCCCACCAUCUUGGAUUGCUGAGUGGUCCCCAUGAGGCUGACCAUUAGGGUGUCAGUAGGUAGCAGGAAUGGCCCAAUCUUGGCUCUGCCUUAGCCUGCUGUGUAGUAGGCCUCUCUGGUUAGUCUGAUGCCCUUUCUAUGUUUGUGUGUGGUGUGUGUGUGUGUGUGUGUGUUGGGGGUUUCCCUCCUGCCCCUCCUUCCUGUCUGGGGAAGAGACAGCAGCUGGAGCCUGACUAGCAGAGGGUCAGACACGGGCUUGUGAGAAAGAGAUAAACCUUGAAGCCACCAAGUUCUUAGUCUACCAUGGCAAGCACAGGCUGGGCAGUGCCAGCUGGAAUGGCAAGUCCUUCUUGCCAACAGUCAGAUCAGAAGUGGCUCAAUGCCACAAAGAGUAAGUAGGAUAUAGGACCUGGGCAGAACAGGGCUCUACUUCUAGCUUGUGUCUCUGGUCUCUCUUUGGUACAAUCAAGUUCCCCUAGUUCUUUUUGAGUUCUACCUCAUUGCCUAACCGUCUAUAGGACCCAGGGGUCCGGAAUCCCUUGCUUCUACAAACACACAGCCAAGGCUGGCAAGCCAUACAGACCUGUUAUCCAAGCACUCAGACACUGAGACAAUAGGACAGCUAAGAGCUGCGGGCUAUCCUGGGUUACAUACUGCCUCCAAGUCCAGCUUGAUUUGCAUAACAAGACUGUCUUUAAGAAAAAUAACUGGGCUGGAGAGAUUGCUCAGAGGUUAAGAGCACUGACUGCUCUUCCAGAGGUCCUGAGUUCAAAUCCCAGCAACCACAUGGUGGCUCACAACCAUCUGUAAUGGGAUCUGAUGCUUUCUUCUGGCAUGUCUGAAGGCAGCGAUGGUGUACUUGUAAGUGUACUUGUAACUACUUAUACUUGUGUACGACGGUGUACUUGUAAGUAAGGUAUACUUACAUACAUGAAAUAAAUAAAUCUUAAAAAGAAAGAAAGAAAAAAAAAUAACUAACAGCAAAUAAGUAAAGCCUGCCAACCUGUCAAAAUAAUUCUGACCUGUUGCUACCAAUGACUAUCUCUUUAGGUUGCUGUUGGGGGCAGGGGUGGUGGUAGCUGCACACAGUAGGCUCUUUAUAAAUGUGUAUCUCCCUUCUCUUCUUCCUCCAUGUAUCUCUGAUCUCCAGCUCAGUGACAGCAUCGUUUAGGAAGUGUUCCAUAAUGAGGCAGAAGUUGGCUGCUCUGACCAUCCUGCCUUCUGCUAGCUCUGGGCAUGCCUUUCCUUCCGGAAGGGAAACUGAGGCCUGAACAGGGGUGGCCUGGCCAGCAAGCAGGGCUGUCUAAAUGGAGUGGAGACACACUGGGGCCUCAUGGCUCACAGUGGCCACCCUACCAGUCUCCCCAGUCUUCUCCCAGGCAGGAAGCCAAAAGGACUCCUGCAGAGCCUGGCCUGCCUCUCCCAUAAGUCAAUCACCUGGGAGGCCAGUGGCCCUCUGCCUCGCCAGGCUGACAGAUGACGGGGAGGGAGAGGAAGCUUGCCAGGCAGCCAGUGGGGGUGGGAAGGCCAAGGUGGAAAAAAUCAGAGCAGGGUUUGAAAGAUGAAGAAAUAAACCUGCCAGGAGGGAGACAGCCUCAAUCUGUCCUCCAUAAAGCUGUCUCAGGGCCACCAAGGACGUCGGCGGAUGGAGGGGACCGGAGAUAGCUCCUCCUGGAACCUCUGCUGCCCCCACAGCCCAGCUGGCCUCCAGAUCUGACUUGGUGAGGGUUCCAAAGAGGGACCUGGCUGGGUUUCUGGGGCAUAGCGGGUGACAGGAGGGGAAGGUGGGGGCCUGAGGCUUUUUUUUUUUGGGCUUUCCUAACCAUUUGCACACAGAUACAGAAGGCACUCGAUACUGACAUCUGGACCAAGUGAAUGGAGGAAGGCAUUGUCAUGUUUGCAGUUAACAGAAAGAGCUUGGGCACAGCUGAGUUGGCUUCAGGGUGAACCACAGGCAACCUAUGUCAAACUACAAAACAGAGCCUCUUGGCACCUAGCUC